ACAGAAAGAAUCGCUGGCCCCACAACUUACUUUCGACUCUCUUCUCUAAGUAGGUUAUAAAACAAUGCCCGCCCAAUCUCUACCUCUUAGUCCCGUCCUCUUCGACCUUGAGGCGCAACAUAGAAUCUUCUUUGCACAACCUAAAUCCAAAUGCCUUGACCUCUUCGAAACCAUCCUAAUAUGCUCGCUGGUAUUUUUUAGUAUAAUAGGGGCUGUGUUAUUGGCUUGCUUAUAUCACCCGCGGAUGAAUAAAUUGCCUUCAUACACCGUCUCCUCAGCUACCGUCGAUCCCUUCAACAUCUCCUCGUUGCGAUUGACCGCCGCCUGGAAUAUCUCCUUCUACAUGAAGAACUAUAACACGCGGAGAGAACUCAAACUUAACAAUGUCCAGUCAUCCAUAUACUAUGGGUCCCACCUCCUAUCACAGGUCUCCAUCCCUCCAUUGUAUGUGCACCCGUCGGGGCAUUUGACUUUCCAGGCCCACUUGGAGAGCUUGGAUGUGGACGUGGCCGAGUCCAUGGUCAGGGAAAGGCUAUUACAUGGGGCCCUGGAUUUCCGAGUUGAAUUGCUUGCUCGGGCAAAGUAUAUCAGGAUUUCGUGUGAGAACGUGACGGUUGGAUUCUCGGCUACGGAUAACGUGGGGCCGGGCGUUAUGUUGGGCCCACCUCGGAAGUGCAAAAUCUUUGUGGAUGAAAAGCCUAAGAAACGGCAAUGAAUGAUGAGGAAGCAACUAGUUGUUAAAGCUUGCCAUGGAUCCAGCACUAGUGGUCGAGAUCCUCUGUUCAUUUCUUUCUUUCUUUCUUUUGAGAAAAACCUGACAGUUUACCGCCUUUAUUAAAAAAACAUCAACAAAGAGAGCUAUUGUUGAGACAAGAAGACCCGUCCCAGUCCAACUUCCAUAGAUAAAAUGACUAAAAUGCCUAUUCAAGUUCACCUUUUUCAUUUAUGUUUAUAUUGUUGGAAUUAUGGGCUACAUAUGUCCAUCAGUCAAAGCAAUGAUUGGAUUAGAUCGUUCGCAUGA